CCUACGGGUGGCAGCAGUGGGGAAUAUUGGACAAUGGGCGAAAGCCUGAUCCAGCCAUGCCGCGUGUGUGAAGAAGGCCUUCGGGUUGUAAAGCACUUUCAGUGGGGAAGAAAGCCUUGGGGCUAAUACCCUCGAGGAAGGACAUCACCCACAGAAGAAGCACCGGCUAACUCCGUGCCAGCAGCCGCGGUAAUACGGAGGGUGCGAGCGUUAAUCGGAAUUACUGGGCGUAAAGCGCGCGUAGGCGGUCUGAUAAGCCGGUUGUGAAAGCCCCGGGCUCAACCUGGGAACGGCAUCCGGAACUGUCCGGCUAGAGUGAGGGGGAGGAAGGUAGAAUUCCCGGGGUGGCGGGGAAAGGCGUGGAGUUCGGCAGGAAUACCAGUGGCGAGGGCGGCCUUCUGGACUGACCCGGACCCUGAGGUGCGAAAGCGUGGUUAGCAAACAGGAUUAGAUACCCCAGUAGUC
rnacentral:rRNA from 1 species